rnacentral:lncRNA from 1 species
GUGGGCGCCAAGCUGAGCGGCCUCAAGUCUCUGGAGCUGGAGGUCGAGGAAGAGGGUGCCACAAAGUCCAGCAGGGACCCCCUGGCCUCCAGGGCGGCCCCAGAGGAGCACGGCAGGAGAGGCGAGGACCUGAAGGUGCGGCUGCCCCUCCCAAGCCUCAUGUGGCCUCUGCCCGGAGCCCGGCCUGAGCCCGAGCCUUGUGCCCCACAGGGGAGGAUGGUUCUGGCCCAGCAGUACCUGGCUCAGGCAUCAGAAGUGCUGCUGCAGUGCCUACAGGUGGCCCUUGGCAGUGGCCUCCUGGAUGUCGCAGCAGCCGCCAGCCUGGAGAUGGUGGAAUGCGUCGGCACCCUGGACCCCGCAACUACCUGCCAGUUCCUGGCUCUGUCUCAGGUGUGUCUUUGCCCCACGCACCUCCAGCCAGGCCUUCACAGAGGAGGGAGGACCCUGGGCUUCAGCUGGGGCCCUCGCCUUGGGGGUCGCCGUUAGAGAAACAGGCCACAGGCCGGGGUCCUCAAACAGUGGGAGCCUGCCGACCACGUAAACUUGUGGCUCAGAGAGAACAUGCAUUCGUGUACUUAUCCCUGAACCCCUGCAUCAGGCAGACCUGGAGACCCGGCAGUCACAGGCCAGCAGGGCCCUGUCCGUGCGGACCUCACAGAGGUCCCACAGAGGGAACAAGCGUGGCCUCACGCAACUCUCCAGGUGCCAGGAGGAGCCAGCAUCCCAGAGGAGCCCAUUCCUGCUCCCAGGCUGCAGCCACUGCACGCCCUUCGCAGGGUGCAAGGCCUCCCCGCCCAGGCCUUGGGCCCCUGUCAUACCUCCCCUGCUCCCUUUCAGAGCUGCUCGGCCUCGGAGACAAUGAGGGAUGUCCUGCUUGCAGCCACGGCCAACACCAGCAGCUCACAGCUGGCGGCCCUGCUGCAGCUACAGCACCGGCUCCGGUGCCAAGACAGGACCACCACCAGCCUGGGUGCCAGUGUGGAGCAGAGGCUGGCUGCCGUGUCCAAGGCUUGGCAAAAUCUCUGCGUCACUGA